AACGAACGCUGGCGGCAUGCCUAACACAUGCAAGUCGAACGAAGGCUUCGGCCUUAGUGGCGCACGGGUGCGUAACGCGUGGGAAUCUGCCCUUGGGUUCGGAAUAACUCCUCGAAAGGGGUGCUAAUACCGGAUGAUGUCGUAAGACCAAAGAUUUAUCGCCCAAGGAUGAGCCCGCGUAGGAUUAGCUAGUUGGUGAGGUAAAGGCUCACCAAGGCGACGAUCCUUAGCUGGUCUGAGAGGAUGAUCAGCCACACUGGGACUGAGACACGGCCCAGACUCCUACGGGAGGCAGCAGUGGGGAAUAUUGGACAAUGGGCGAAAGCCUGAUCCAGCAAUGCCGCGUGAGUGAUGAAGGCCUUAGGGUUGUAAAGCUCUUUUACCCGGGAUGAUAAUGACAGUACCGGGAGAAUAAGCCCCGGCUAACUCUGUGCCAGCCGCCGCAGUAAGAC
rnacentral:rRNA from 1 species